rnacentral:rRNA from 1 species
CCCUUAGAUGUUCUGGGCCGCACGCGUGCUACACUGAGUGGAUCAGCGGGUCAGGUUGCGCGAUAGCGUUUCCUAAUCUUUAAAUCCGCUCGUGAUGGGGAUUGACGGUUGCAAUUUUCUGUCAUGAACGAGGAAUACCUUGUAAGCGCGGGUCAUCAUCCCGCGCUGAAUACGUCCCUGCCCUUUGUACACACCGCCCGUCGCUCCUACCGAUUGAGUGGUCCGGUGAGGCUUUGGGAUCUGAGCGGAAAGAGCGUUUCGCUGUUUCUGCUCGGAAAACUCAGUCGAACCUUAUCAUUUAGAGGAAGGAGAAGUCGUAACA